UACGAAGGGGGCUAGCGUUGCUCGGAAUCACUGUGCGUAAAGCGCACGUAGGCGGAUUGUUAAGUCGGGGGUGAAAUCCUGGAGCUCAACUCCAGAACUGCCUUCGAUACUGGCGAUCUUGAGUCCGGGAGAGGUGAGUGGAACUCCGAGUGUAGAGGUGAAAUUCGUAGAUAUUCGGAAGAACACCAGUGGCGAAGGCGGCUCACUGGCCCGGUACUGACGCUGAGGUGCGAAAGCGUGGGGAGCAAACAGG
rnacentral:rRNA from 1 species